rnacentral:rRNA from 1 species
CAGCCGCCGCGGUAAUACCGGCGGCCCGAGUGGCGGUCACUAUUAUUGGGCUUAAAACGUCCGUAGCCGGGUUGGUUAGUCUCCCGGGAAAUCUGGCCGCUUAACGGUCAGAAUUCCGGGAGAUACUGCCAGCCUAGGGACCGGGAGAGGCCGAGGGUAUUCCCGGGGUAGGGGGGAAAUCCUAUAAUCCCGGGAGGACCACCUGUGGCGAAGGCGCUCGGCUGGAACGGGUCCGACGGUGAGGGACGAAGGCCAGGGGAGCAAACCGGAUUAGAUACCCGGGUAGUCCUGGCUGUAAACGAUGCGGACUUUGUGUCGGACAAGCUAUGAGCUUGUCCGGUGCCGGAGGGAAACCGUUAAGUCCGCCGCCUGGGGAGUACGGCCGCAAGGCUGAAACUUAAAGGAAUUGGCGGG